rnacentral:tRNA from 1 species
UAUAGGGUAGUAUAACAAAAUACCCCUAGUUUACACCUAGAAACUGGUCAACUACCCCCUAUAA